rnacentral:rRNA from 1 species
UACGUAGGGGGCAAGCGUUGUCCGGAACCAUUGGGCGUAAAGCGCGUGUAGGCGGCUCAGUAAGUCCGCUCUGAAAUCCCGGGGCUCAACCUCGGAACUGCCUUUGAUACUGCAAGUCUCGAGUCCGAUAGAGGUGAGUGGAAUUCCUAGUGUAGAGGUGAAAUUCGUAGAUAUUAGGAAGAACACCAGUGGCGAAGGCGGCUCACUGGAUCGGUACUGACGCUGAGGUGCGAAAGCGUGGGGAGCAAACAGG